UAAGAUAUAGCAUAAUUUAAUGUAGCUCGCUUACACUGAGAAGAUGGCUGAAUGUCUGGCCUAUCUUAA
rnacentral:tRNA from 1 species